ACAGCAGUCGCCGCGGUAAUACGGAGGGUGCAAGCGUUAAUCGGAAUUACUGGGCGUAAAGCGCACGCAGGCGGUCUGACAAGUCAGAUGUGAAAUCCCCGGGCUUAACCUGGGAACUGCAUUUGAAACUGUCAGGCUGGAGUCUUGUAGAGGGGGGUAGAAUUCCAGGUGUAGCGGUGAAAUGCGUAGAGAUCUGGAGGAAUACCGGUGGCGAAGGCGGCCCCCUGGACAAAGACUGACGCUCAGGUGCGAAAGCGUGGGGAGCAAACAGGAUUAGAUACCCGCGUAGUCCCUGUCUCUUAUAC
rnacentral:rRNA from 1 species